rnacentral:rRNA from 1 species
CAAUAGCGUAUAUUAAAGUUGUUGCGGUUAAAAAGCUCGUAGUUGGAUUUCUGCUAAGUCCGACCGGUCCGCCUUCUGGGUGUGUAUCUGGUACGGUCUUGGCAUCUUCUUGGGACUCGCUCCGCACUUGACUGGGUAGAGUGUGUUUCAGGACUUUUACUUUGAGGAAAUUAGAGUGUUUCAAGCAGGCUUUCGCCUUGAAUAUGUUAGCAUGGAAUAAUGACAUAGGACCACGGUUCUAUUUUGUUGGUUUCUAGAGUUGUGGUAAUGAUUAAUAGGGACAGUUGGGGGCAUUCGUAUUUAACUGUCAGAGGUGAAAUUCUUGGAUUUGUUAAAGACGAACUACUGCGAAAGCAUUUGCCAAGGAUGUUUUCAUUGA